rnacentral:rRNA from 1 species
CUAGCGGCAGGCCUAACACAUGCAAGUCGAGGGGUAGAGUGCUUCGGCACUUGAUGACCGGCGCACGGGUGCGUAACACGUGUCAAUCUACCUUUUGCUAAGGGAUAGCCCGAAGAANNCAUUUUCUANAGCCUUAAGUAUUGNUUNNCCCUAAGNUGUUGGGCAUCACUGAAUAAUUAAAGCUCUGGUGGCAAAAGAUGAGUACGCGUCCCAUUAGCUAGUUGGUGUGGUAACGGCAUCCAAGGCUACGAUGGGUAGGGGUCCUGAGAGGGAGGUCCCCGCACACUGGUACUGAGACACGGACCAGACUCCUACGGGAGGCAGCAGUGAGGAAUAUUGGACAAUGGUCGGAAGACUGAUCCAGCCAUGCCGCGUGCAGGAUGACGGCCUUAUGGGUUGUAAACUGCUUUUAUACAGGAAGAAUAAGGUCUACGAGUAGAUUGAUGACGGUACUGUAUGAAUAAGCAUCGGCUAACUCCGUGCCAGCAGCCGCGGUAAUACGGAGGAUGCGAGCGUUAUCCGGAAUCAUUGGGUUUAAAGGGUCCGUAGGCGGGCUUAUAAGUCAGAGGUGAAAGCACUGAGCUCAACUGAGUAACUGCCUUUGAAACUGUAGGUCUUGAAUGUUUGUGAAAGGGAAUGUGUAGUGUAGCGGUGAAUGCAUAGAUAUUACACAGAACACCGAUUGCGAAGGCAUGUUACUAACAAAUUAUUGACGCUGAUGGACGAAAGCGUGGGGAGCGAACAGGAUUAGAUACCCUGGUAGUCCACGCUGUAAACGAUGGAUACUACUGUUUGGGAGUAAUUUUGAGUGGCUAAGCAAGUGAUAAGUAUCCCACCUGGGGAGUCGCACGCAAGUGUGAAACUCAAAGGAAUUGACGGCGGGCCCGCACAAGCGGUGGAGCAUGUGGUUUAAUUCG